UUGCCAUUAUUGCAUGCUUCAUCUUCAGGC
rnacentral:piRNA from 2 species